rnacentral:rRNA from 1 species
UACGUAGGUGGCAAGCGUUGUCCGGAUUUACUGGGCGUAAAGAGCGCGCAGGCGGUCUUUUAAGUCGAAUGUGAAAGCCCCCGGCUCAACUGGGGAGGGUCAUUCGAUACUGAUCGACUUGAAGGCAGGAGAGAGAAGUGGAAUUCCCGGUGUAGUGGUGAAAUGCGUAGAUAUCGGGAGGAACACCAGUGGCGAAGGCGACUUCUUGGCCUGUUCUUGACGCUGAGGCGC